rnacentral:rRNA from 1 species
ACUCCUACGGGAGGGCAGGCAGUGGGGAAUAUUGCACAGAUGGGCGCAANGCCCUGAUGCAGGCCAUCCCGCGGUGUGUGAAGAAAGGCCUUCGGGUUGUAAAGCACUUUCAGUCAGGAGGAAAGGUUAGUAGUUAAUACNUGCUAGCUGUGACGUGUACUGACAGAAGAAGCACCGGCUAACUCC